UGCCCUUCUCUCCGGGCGCGGGCAGGACGCAGGAGCAGGCGGAGUCGCGGCCGCGCGGAUCACCGUGGUUCUUGCGGCUCCCGGGCGUGGCCAUUUACAACCCGCCUCGCACCUGCUAGAGGUCCAAUCCAACAAUGUCUCCAAAUGGGGUGUCAGGGUUGAAGAUGGCCUGCAGCACUGCCUGAUCAUUUGGAGUCCCCAUGGUGCUCAACUCCAAAAUCCCAAAAUUACAGAAAAGACCCCGGCCAUGGAUGGGAGACCUAGGACAAAGAUGGAAAAGAGGCACCUACUGCUACUUCAACACAAAUGGUUUUCAGUCCUUUUAAAUCUUAUCCAGGAAAUUCUGAUGCAAACAAAUUCCUACGUAGUGCCCUGACCAGCUGGAGGAGAGGGAAAGCAGUUUCUAAUGACUGCUCCCCACUCAAGACGUGCUUGGCACCAGACAGCUGCUCAAUGAGGAACACAACUGCAUCAUGGAGAAUCCCCAGCAUCCUCAAACCGUUAACACCUAGAAGAAUCAGAAGCACCAGGGAAGUGAGGAGCGCAGUCAACAGGAAACAGCAUGGUCCUACAGAAAUGCCUAUGCUAUAGUCACUCUGCCAGAGGCUGCUCCAGGGUGAAUUAUAGUACAUAUUAGCUCGAAAUUAGCAUCAGAUAGCCAUUAAAAUGAUGCUGAUACAGAUCUAUCAAUAUGGAAAAUGUUUGUGAUAGACGGCUAAGUGGAAUCAACUCUGCCUUAGGCGAACAAUUUACCAUAAUAUUCUGAGACAGGAGUGGAAUAACACCUCCAGCCAUUACCUGCAAAUGAGAGCUGCUUUAGGCGGGCAUUUGAUCGAGCUUCCUGGACUUUAUCUGUCAAUGACUUCCAGGCAUCUGAAAGGAAAUAAAGAAAACCCGUAAGCCAGAAAAUAU
rnacentral:lncRNA from 1 species